rnacentral:rRNA from 11 species
CAUAAUGAUCCACACACCCUGAAACAUCUGAUCCCAUCUGAUUUCAAAAGUUUAGGAGGGGCAGGUCUGGUUAGAAUUUGGAUGGAAGAUGACCAGGGAAUAUCACAGAUUAUCGAUAAGG